UCUAGUAAGGAAGCUUCUUUGCUCUGCAACAAGGUCUCAGCCUUUGGGCUGUCUCGUUCUUGGUGAUGGAGAUGAGGCCAGUGGCAAUAAGAGAGUUGUUAAAAUCCCCCUCUUGUCGCCUGCAGGUUCAAAGUGAAAGGAUUCACUUAUUCCGAAAUAUUCAUGGCAAAAAUGAAAGUUUAUUGUUGGAUAGAAACCAGUUUGCCGAGAGACUGACUUCUUUAGUGGCAAAGUCCUAUUAGGGAAAUGGAGCCUGGCACUGAGAAGAGAAAGCGUUCUCAGUGGGCAGGGUCCUCACAGGCAGCUACACCAAGGAAAGAGAGAAGGGUUCCUUGGUCUGACAUGUUCCUGCUUUGGGCCUCUGCAAGGAUGACAAAGACUGACCAGAAAGUCUCUGGUGGCAGUGAAACCAUGUGUGGGCCCUUGGUCCUGAAAGCAACGGACAGAGCCCUGGGCCUUCCUAUCACCAGGAGAUCCCUUGGGGCAGAGAAUCCAGGCCGAGACCCCAGCAGAGAUGGCAGUGAGAGGGUCCUGGUCCUGCCCCCUACUCUCCUGGGAACUCCCCCAAGGCCUGAUGGGAAAUACACUCCAUUCACAAACAUGAGCCUGAGACAGCCAGUGAGAUUCUCACCCUCCAGAUGCAGAAAACAAUGAGGUUUUAACUGGGGUGACUGGGUGAUAUUGGGGCACAUGGGGUUGUCUCUUGUCCAGGCCUGGGGCAGAAGGAACCCAUCCUGGGAGACCAGUGUGGCCUGGGCUGGAGAUAAAGCAAUCUGGUCUCUAUCAUGGCAGCCCCAUAGGGCAGGGAGAUGAUGGAGCGCUGGGCCUGGAAUCCCCAAGACUCAUGUUCCUGAGUUCAAAUCUAACCUUGGACAGUUACAAGCCAUGAGAAUCUGAACAAGUCACUUAAUCUGUUUGCAUCAGUUUCCUCAUCUGUGAAUGAGCUGGAGGAAGAAAUUGCAAAACCCCCUGGUAUCUCUGCCAGGAAAACCUUGUUGGAAUCUUUACAAAAUGUUAAGCCAUUGGAGUUGAUAGAGACAAUAAUUAUCUAAUUUGGCAUGGUUCAAUAUGAUUGAUUUGAUCUUAGAAGGAGAUAUUUUGGGCCAGAACUUGAAACAAGGUACUAAGUACAACUGAUAGAAAGAUGCUUGUGUUCACACCUUUAGAGAGUUCCUAAGUAUCUAAGUACUCAAUGGAGUUCACACGUUUGGGAGAAUUCAGGGUUUAAAAAGAGAUAUCUGAAUUCACACCUCCCUUAGGGCCAGAGAGCAUGCUGGGAGAUAUCCCACAAUCCCACUCUCGGAGAAGUAGCAUAAAUACAGCUCCAGCAAGCCACUCAAAAGAGUUUACUUGGGAGCAUUCCCAGGAGUCGGAGAGGAGCAUUCUGCAAGAAAGCCUACAAGCCUAUUUUGAAACCAAGAAAAG
rnacentral:lncRNA from 1 species